AAGAAAAAAGAAAAAGAGGUUUUGCAAUUUGGACAUUAAAAAAAAAGAAGAAAAAGCAGGGUGGGUGGCUGCUUUCAGGAAUCAGUUUCAUUUUAAAACCCUCUGCACUGAAAAAGUGAUAAACACAAAGAUUAAUAGCCAGAACACAAAGUAGGUUUUUUUUUCAAGUCAGAUUACAUUCUUUUAGUUAUCCCAGUGUCAACUGUUUGGGGAUCUUCUGUGGCUUUUAAUUUGAAAAGUUUCUCUUUUGGCUUGGUAAGAACUCAUUUUCCCCAAGGUUCAUUAAUUUGAGGACCUAUCUGUGUAUUUGCCAGACUCUACUCCAAACACGGCUCUCCAAGGUGAAGGUUUCUGUCCAGGAAGGUAAGACCCAGACUCAUUUUAACAAACUGGACUAUUCCAGCAUUCGGAGAUGAGCACAUGCCUAAGCACUUUGCUGGUUGACACCAUGGAGCUUUUCAGCUUUCAGGAUCAGUGCUGUGCCCCUCAGAACCACUCCCUUGCUUGAGAUCAUAACAGGAGAGACUGAAGAUUUUUCUGAGAUUAACAUACCAAAUGCCCUGUGAUUCAGCCCACCAAGUUCACAUUGCAAGUCCAACCCUAAAAUCCAGAAUGGGGCCAGGAGAGAAUCGCUGGCUUCACAGAACUCCGUGUCAUCACUAAAAUAUUCUACGUAUUGCACCCUGCUGACACAGUGAGGGUGAAUGGCCCGAAAGGGUUAAUCAGGAUGUCAAAAGCUGCAGAUGACAAAGGCCUGUCCUGCCCCAAGAGACCCCCGUGGGCGCAGAGUGCACCCCAGGCUGUGCUGGUGGAAGGUGGUGUCCUCAUUCUCCUGGCAGCAUCUCAGGCUUGUAUGAAAUUAGCCAGAGCAUUUCUGCUCCAUGUUACUCAUGUAGCUGAAUUAAUCUUUCUUAAGCAAAGUUGUUAGUUUAAUUCCUUCCAGACUCUCAGGAUCGCAAAUGCAAU